rnacentral:rRNA from 1 species
UACAGAGGGUGCGAGCGUUAAUCGGAAUUACUGGGCGUAAAGCGCGCGUAGGCGGCUUUGCAAGUCGGGUGUGAAAUCCCCAGGCUCAACCUGGGAACUGCAUUCGAGACUGCAUUGCUAGAGUAUGGGAGAGGGAAGUGGAAUUUCCGGUGUAGCGGUGAAAUUCGUAGAUAUCGAGAGGAACACCUGUGGCGAAGGCGGCUGCCUGGACGACGAUUGACGCUGAGACGCGAAAGCGCGGGGAGCAAACAGG